GCUGGGCGCAGUGGCAUAUGCCUGUAUUCUCAGCUAUUCGGGAGGCUGAGGUGGGAGGAUCGCUUGAGCGCAGGAGUUCUGGGCUGUAGUGCACUAUGCCGAUCGGGUGUCCUCACUAAGUUCGGCAUCAGUAUGGUGACCUACCGGGAGCAGGGGACCACCAGGUUGCCUAAGGAAUGGUGAAUCGGCCCAGGUCAGAAACAGAGCAGGUCAAAACUCCCGUGCUGAUCAGUAGUGGGAUCGCGCCUGUGAAUAGCCACUGCACUCCAGCCUGAGCAACAUAGGGAGACCCAGUCUCUA
rnacentral:SRP_RNA from 1 species